GGUAAACUUGAAUAUGGUUACGAUGGAGUAGUUUAUUAC
rnacentral:sRNA from 1 species